AGAUUUCGUGUUAUUGUGACCCGAUUUACCUUAUAAUAGCAUAUUUAAGCACAGCUCUCUCCUAGAAAUUGACACUAUUUACAGUUACUCUAUUGCUUCUAACGUUAGCACUUUUUAAUUAGAAGUUGCUAGAUUUCAAUGUUGUGUUUUAAAAUUCUAAUCGAUUUAUAACAAAAAAAGUUGAUGUUCGCGGGCUUAAAUUAUGUAAGUUACUAAGACUCAUUUCAGCCUAAGCUAGAAAAGAUGCAAGGGAUGUAAUGAGGUCUGUGUUUAGAUACAUCAUACAACAACUACCUAACUUUCUUUUGGAUAUUGUACUGAUGUAAACUUGAUGUGCACCUAUCCCAAUAAAAUGUAUUGUAUAGUAAACACACAUUGUUUUAUGGAUAGCAUUUACUUGGCUGAAUCAUUGUAUCUGAAAGCCAUGUGAAUCUUAUCAGAAACAUAAACAAGAAUGCUACAGCUUUACACACCUGGGUUUGUUUUUAUUUAUGCUUAUUUGUUUAUUUGUGUAAGGCUGAGUUCAAACUUCCUAUUAUCCAUGAGCCGUAUUAUUUGUGUGCAUUUGCAUUACUAAAUAGAGCUCAUGAAUAAUAUGACGUUUGAACUUAGCCUAAUACCCAUAAAUGAAGCACUGUUGUAUGAUCUAUGCAACCUUAUCUUAAAUUGAUGUGUAUAAUACUCAUAUUUAAAGUUACAUUCAAACAGCUUAGAGAAAAUGAAUUAUACUUUUUUUGGCAUUGAGUGACAUUCUCAUAUUGUUUUACCCUGGUUCAAGAUCCUCAAACGUCUCUUUCUAUUUAGUGGCCAGCGAGCUUGCGAUGAGGUCCUGGCCUUUCGAAGCGUUAUUUUAUGGUCACAUUAUGUAUGGCCACGUUGGUCCUUUGCAGUCCAAAUUCAUUACAAGAUUUACCAGUAUUGAACAUGUAAAGCUGUUCAAGAGGAGUCUCUUUAGGAAUUCAUAAAGCGGCAAGAUGUCUCCUCUGUGCUGCCAACUGGCUACAGGAAAUCGCUGAUUUUCUGGCUUAUUCCCAAGCUAACAAUUGUACUGGUCAUUUGCCCCUUUGGUUCUUUGAUAGACUGAUUCUGAGGAAAACUGUGAGCUUAUCCUCUAUUUUCUCCUCCUUGGAGCGCUUCCCGAGAAAAUGUUGUAUUCCCCACCUCUUUUUAUGCGCUGGUUUUUGUCACUAACUCUACAGUAAUGAUUCUAUGGGUUUUCAUACUCUUUUCAUACUUGUGAACUCAAUUCCUGAGUGAAGAGAUGUUUACAUCCUAGGUAGUACCACGUGAAACUAACACAUGCUAAUCACAAAACGUUAA